ACCUGGCUGGCCCAGCGGAUAGAGCGUGUGACUCUUGAUCUCAGAAUUUGUGAGUUCGAGCCCCAUGUUGGGUG
rnacentral:tRNA from 1 species